UACGUGAGGUGGCAAGCGUUGUCCGGAUUUACUGGGCGUAAAGAGCGCGCAGGCGGUCGGAUAAGUCGAAUGUGAAAGCCCCCGGCUCAACUGGGGAGGGUCAUUCGAUACUGAUCGAACUCGAAGGCAGGAGAGGGUAGUGGGAAUUCCCGGUGUAGUGGUGAAAAUGCGUAGAUAUCGGGAGGAACACCAGUGGCGAAGGCGGGUAGCUGGGCCGGACACUGACGCUGAGGCGACGAAAGCCAGGGGAGCGAACGGG
rnacentral:rRNA from 1 species